GUGCUUGCUUCAGCAGCACAUAUACUAAAAUUGGAACAAUACAGAGAAAAUUAGCAUGGCCCCUGUGCAAGGAUGUCGUGCAAAUUCAUGAAGUGUUUCAUAUUUUU